rnacentral:rRNA from 1 species
UUGACCUCGGAUCAGGUAGGGAUACCCGCUGAACUUAAGCAUAUCAAUAAGCGGAGGAAAAGAAACCAACAGGGAUUGCCUCAGUAACGGCGAGUGAAGCGGCAACAGCUCAAAUUUGAAAUCUGACCCCUCCGG